rnacentral:rRNA from 1 species
GACGAACGCUGGCGGCGUGCCUAACACAUGCAAGUUGAACGGAGAUACGAUUUCGGUUGUAUCUUAGUGGCGAACGGGUGAGUAACGCGUGAACAACCUGACUCUAAGAGGGGGAUAACACUCGGAAACGGGUGCUAAUACCGCAUAAGACCACGACCCGGCAUCGGGAUGAGGUCAAAGGAGCAAUCCGCUGAGAGAGGGGUUCGCGUCCCAUUAGAUAGAUGGCGGGGUAACGGCCCACCAUGUCAACGAUGGGUAGCCGAGCUGAGAGGGUGAUCGGCCACACUGGAACUGAGACACGGUCCAGACUCCUACGGGAGGCAGCAGUGGGGAAUAUUGGGCAAUGGGCGCAAGCCUGACCCAGCAACGCCGCGUGAGGGAAGAAGGCUUUCGGGUUGUAAACCUCUGUCCUUGGUGACGAAACAAAUGACGGUAUUAAACGAGAAAGCCACGGCUAACUACGUGCCAGCCGCCGCCGUAA